rnacentral:rRNA from 1 species
AUAACGACUCUCGGCAACGGAUAUCUCGGCUCUCGCAUCGAUGAAGAACGUAGCGAACUGCGAUACUUGGUGUGAAUUGCAGAAUCCCGUGAACCAUCGAGUCUUUGAACGCAAGUUGCGCCCGAAACCUUUGGUCGAGGCAACGUUUGCCUGGGUGUCAC